rnacentral:misc_RNA from 1 species
GAAAUGCGAUAAGUAGUGUGAAUUGCAGAAUUCAGUGAAUCAUCGAAUCUUUGAACGCACAUUGCGCCCCUUGGUAUUCCAUGGGGCAUGCCUGUUCGAGCGUCAUCUACACCCUCAAGCUCUGCUUGGUGUUGGGCGUCUGUCCCGCCCCCGCGCGUGGACUCGCCCCAAAUCCAUUGGCAGCGUUCUUUGCCCCCUCUCGCGCAGCACAUUGCGCUUCUCGAGGGCGGCUCCGGGACGCGAUCCAGCAAGAUGACCACCGUCUUUGACCUCGGAUCAGGUAGGGAUACCCGCUGAACUUAAGC